UGCUAUCGAGAUGGGACUAAGGUAUGCUAGUCGAACGACCAGAACUAUGUCUGGAAGUGGCACACUGCUCAGUAACACGUAGCUAACCUACCCUUAGGACGUGGAUACCCCCGAGAAAUUGGGGUUAAUCCGCGAUAGAUGUAAUGUCCUGGAAUGGUAUUACGUCCAAAGGUGAAUCAUACAUGUUUGAUUCAUGCCUAAGGAUGGGGCUGCGGCCGAUCAGGCUGUUGGUGAGGUAAUGGCUCACCAAACCUUUGACCGGUACGGGCCAUGAGAGUGGUAGCCCGGAGAUGGACACUGAGACAAGGGUCCAGGCCCUAAGGGGCGCAGCAACCGCGAAACCUCCACAAUGCACUCACGUGCGAUGGGGCUAUCUCGAGUGCCACCUGAUGAAGGUGGCUUUUCCUUGGUCUUCAAAGCCUUGGGAAUAAGAGGGGGGCAAGACUGGUGUCAGCCGCCGCGGUAACACCAGCCCCUCGAGUGGUGGGGAUGAUUAUUUGGCCUAAAGCGUCCGUAGCCGGCCGAGCAAGUCUUCCGUUAAAUCCAGCGUCUCAAGCGUUGGACUGCGGGAGAUACUACACGGCUAGAGAGUGGGAGAGGUCAGCGGUAUUCUGGGGGUAGGGGCGAAAUCCUUUGAUCCCCGGAGGACCACCAGUGGCGAAGGCUGCUGACUAGAACACGUCUGACGGUCAGGGGCGAAAGCUGGGGUAGCGAACCGGAUUAGAUACCCGGGUAGUCCCAGCCGUAAACGAUGCAUGCUAGGUGUUGGGUUGGCCACGAGCCACCCCAGUGCCGCAGGGAAGCCGUUAAGCAUGCCGCCUGGGAAGUACGAUCGCAAGAUUGAAACUUAAAGGAAUUGGCGGGGGAGCACCACCAGGCGUGAAGCCUGCGGUUUAAUUGGAUUCAACGCCGGG
rnacentral:rRNA from 1 species